rnacentral:rRNA from 1 species
AACGAACGCUGGCGGCAUGCCUAACACAUGCAAGUCGAACGAGACCUUCGGGUCUAGUGGCGCACGGGUGCGUAACGCGUGGGAACCUGCCCUUAGGUUCGGAAUAACUCCCCGAAAGGGGUGCUAAUACCGGAUAAUGUCUUCGGACCAAAGAUUUAUCGCCUUUGGAUGGGCCCGCGUUGGAUUAGCUAGUUGGUAGGGUAAAAGCCUACCAAGGCGACGAUCCAUAGCUGGUCAGAGAGGAUGAUCAGCCACACUGGGACUGAGACACGGCCCAGACUCCUACGGGAGGCAGCAGUGGGGAAUAUUGGACAAUGGGCGGAAGCCUGAUCCAGCAAUGCCGCGUGAGUGAUGAAGGCCUUAGGGUUGUAAAGCUCUUUUACCCGGGAUGAUAAUGACAGUACCGGGAGAAUAAGCUCCGGCUAACUCCGUG